UUUUACUUGAGUCAUUUUCUAUUAUUUACUUUUACUCAAGUAUGACAAUUAGGGAAUUUUUUCCACCACUGCUUCUAUGGAAAAUGGCAUGUUGUUGUCAAUUUUAAGUUGCUUAAUAAUGAAACGAUGAGUUGGUGUUCAGGCUUCCGUGUUUUGUUUCCUCUGAGUGUCAGAUAUCAGGUCAAUAGGACCUGUCCUACAAUAUCCAUGAUAGGGUAUUUGCCCCCCUUUGGCCAAGCACCGUAGGCAUCGAUGACAACUGCCAGUCACGUCAACCCAGAGUGCAGAACCAGGUACGUAUGUGUCAGUCUUUAUCUGUUUGGACCGUGUCAGUCUUUAUCUGUUUGGACCACGUCAGGGUGGAUUGUCGGUUGUAUAUACUACAGAUGGCAUAUACAGACGUGGCAGGCAAGUAUAUAGAGGGAUUUCAAGCUCCCAUUAUGACAAUGGGUCGAUACCUCUUCUCACAGACAGCGUGUCUCCAUUUAAGUGUUGUGUGAUCUGACUCUGGACUCUAUAUUUGUUCUUCCUGUGUAGGGAACCUGCAGUACAACCAUGACUUCCUCAAUCAGCUGCGUUUUUGUGAGGCUGUCUGUGUCCGGCCACAGGAACUGGAGCUCAUCCCAAGGGUCAAUGACAACAACCUGAUCCUGAGGACAAGCAUCCUUCUGCAUCAAGACAGACUAUCUCCCACUACCUAAACCUGCGGUCAGCCUACGGACACUUCAUCCCUGGAACAGACUGAGCUGAGGUGGCCACCAUGCACUCUGAGGAUGGAGCUACGGUCGACUACAUCUUCUACUCUCCAAGGCGUGGCAAUUCUGGUGCUGAUCAGAAAGGGUUGUUUCCUACCUGAAGAAAAACGACUCAUCCCAAUGUCCAGGGGGGAUGGGAUGUCCUCUGAAGAAUCAUUUUUGUUUACAUGAAUAGAGAGAAAAAACUAACCAAGGUUAAAUUCAGUUAAGAGUUGGAAUUUAUUUGACAAAUUCUCUUACUGUUGAGAUUUGAAUGCAUGAAGCGUAUAGAUUUUAAAAGUUGAUAUUUUGUUUGGGGAUUUAGUUUACUCAGUUUGUUCACAAUCUGCUACACUUGUAAAUUAGAAUAUUCACACCUUUACAGACUGUGUUUGAUGAUGUGGUGUGUUUUGUCCCUUAUGGGCCAGUCAUUGUUUUCUUUUUCAAAAUGGUAGAAAUAUUGAAUAAAUAUUUUCCAGAUAACAACAUCA